rnacentral:rRNA from 1 species
UACGUAGGCAGCGAGCGUUGUUCGGAGUUACUGGGCGUAAAGGGUGUGUAGGCGGUCCCUUAAGUUUGGUGUGAAAUCUCCCGGCUCAACUGGGAGGGUGCGCCGGAUACUGAGGGGCUAGAGUGCGGGAAGGGAAAGUGGAAUUCCUGGUGUAGCGGUGAAAUGCGUAGAUAUCAGGAGGAACACCGGUGGUGCAAACGCUUUCUGGACCGUAACUGACGCUGAGACACGAAAGCGUGGGGAGCAAACAGG